UACGUAGGGGGGCAAGCGUUGUCCGGAUUUAUUGGGCGUAAAGAGCGUGUAGGCGGCCAGACAGGUCCGUUGUGAAAACUCGAGCUCAACCUCGAGACGCCGAUGGAAACCGUUUGGCUAGAGUCCGGAAGAGGAGAGUGGAAUUCCUGGUGUAGCGGUGAAAUGCGCAGAUAUCAGGAAGAACACCGGUGGCGAAGGCGGGUCUCUGGGGCCGAUACUGACGCUGAGGAGCGAAAGCGUGGGGAGCGAACAGG
rnacentral:rRNA from 1 species